rnacentral:ncRNA from 2 species
CAACGUUCUCAGGGCGGGGUGCGAUUCCCCACCGGCGGUAAUGGCCUUGGCCUAGCCCGCGAGCGCUUGCCAGUUAUGCUUGCAAGGUCAGCAGACCCGGUGUGAUCCCGGGGCCGACGGUAUAGUCCGGAUGAGAGAGAGCGGGA